GAGGGUGAUCGGCCACAUUGGAACUGAGACACGGUCCAAACUCCUACGGGAGGCAGCAGUGGGGAAUAUUGCACAAUGGGCGAAAGCCUGAUGCAGCAACGCCGCGUGAGUGAUGAAGGCCUUCGGGUCGUAAAACUCUGUCCUCAAGGAAGAUAAUGACGGUACUUGAGGAGGAAGCCCCGGCUAACUACGUGCCAGCAGCCGCGGUAAUACGUAGGGGGCUAGCGUUAUCCGGAUUUACUGGGCGUAAAGGGUGCGUAGGCGGUCUUUCAAGUCAGGAGUGAAAGGCUACGGCUCAACCGUAGUAAGCUCUUGAAACUGGGAGACUUGAGUGCAGGAGAGGAGAGUGGAAUUCCUAGUGUAGCGGUGAAAUGCGUAGAUAUUAGGAGGAACACCAGUUGCGAAGGCGGCUCGCUGGACUGUAACUGACGCUGAGGCACGAAAGCGUGGGGAGCAAACAGGAUUAGAUACCCUGGUAGUCCACGCUGUAAACGAUGAGUACUAGGUGUCGGGGGUUACCCCC
rnacentral:rRNA from 1 species